UACGAAACCCUAUCGUCUUCAACUUCUUACUCUUCCAUCACCGCGGAAACCUUCAACUCCUUACUCUUCCACUUCUUCAUCUUCUUCUCUUACUAACGGAAGAAUAAUACCUCGUUCUUCAUCUUCCACUACGUCGUCGUUUUUUAACCCUAGAGGUCGAUCCACGACUCCGAGUCGAGGUCGGAGUGAGUCAACGAAUUACGGCUCGCGUGGUUAUAGAGAUCGUUCUCCGGUUGCGUUUGGGGCAGAGGAGUUGAUUGUUGACCUUGUCGAUGCGUCUAUAUCAGCGGAUAGCAUUUCCGUCACGAUUCGGUUUCGUCCGUUGAGUGAAAGAGAGUAUAAUAAAGGAGAUGAGAUCGCUUGGUAUGCGGAUGGGGAUAAGAUUGUUAGAAAUGAAUAUAAUCCAGCUACUGCUUAUGCAUUUGGUAUGUUGUGUUCAUGUUUUGAUUGAUUUUGUUGGAGUUUAUUUCUUGUUUAGGCUAAUAGUUUUCAUUAGGAAAGUCAUUAUUAUGGUUCAGUGUAGAAACUUGAAAUUGUGGAUGUUAAUUUAUGAUUCUGAUUUGAUUCUCGACAGAUAGAUUUUUUGGACCACAUACCGUAUCAGAUGUGGUGUAUGAAGUAGCUGUCAAACCUGUGGUGAAGGCUGCCAUGGAAGGUGUCAAUGGUAUGAAAUGCUAAUCUCUGGAGUCGAGGCAAAUUUAGAAUGUGAUGUGUGAGGAGAGUUUGAUUUGAUACUACCAAGUUAUUUUCAUGGAUUGAUCAAUACUUUGAGUUUUAUUUGAUAACUUUAUUAAAAUUGUUAGGGUGACUAGUUUGUUAGAUAUACUGUUCAGUGUUGGAGUGACUAAUGAGUCAGCUGAGUUUUGAAUAUAACUUUUUCCUUUUAUAAAGCUUUUUUGGUUAAUGGAAAGUAACUUUAACUCUAAAUAUUUCAGGAACUGUGUUUGCCUAUGGUGUGACCAGCAAUGGUAAGACACAUACUAUGCAUGUAAGUGUCAUUCUUUAUCUAACUGCUUUUCUUUUUAAUUGUAUGCUUUCAUCUGAUGUUUUGUGCUCAAAGCCAUAGAAUUGUGUGUCACUUUCCAUCAAUCAUCAUAUUGCAAUUUUAUAGCUUGUUAUUUAGAUUAGAGUUUUCUCUGGUAAUAUUGAUGUUUGUUAAAAAGGACUGUCUGUUAGUAAUUUUUUGUUGGUUUUGAUUUUUGAGCACAACAGUGCUUAUUUUACAUGACAGUUUCUUCUUGUAAGUGUUGGCCUUUUAUACUUAUGCUACAUGAUGGCUACUUCUCGUAGUCUCGCUGUUGAUUGAUGUUUUUGUAGCUAUGCCGAGGCUGAUCCAUCUGAAAGGAGUUAUAAAAGGAAAAAGAAGGAAUUUGAACCACCUGAGCGAGUUCAGAAAUGCCGUAAAGCAGAGUAUUCAGCUCCUGCAGUACCAAUGGUUGAUGGAGCUUCUAUCCAAGUUAGAAGUUGGUCGUAUGGGAAGUUAAAGUCGGUUUUUCAGAAUCAAAUAUUCAGAGUUAGAGUUAAUACACGACUUCUUUAUCAGCAAACCAAAUUCAACCUUCUCAGAGAAGAGAGCGAGGGCUAUGCCAAAUUGGCUGCUUUAUUUGAUAAAUGAAGGUAGUGAUUAAUUGGAAUUUGGAAGAGAAAUGCAUAUGAACGUGUGGAUUCGAAGGCUUUCAGUUUGUGCCGAUUCGAAUAUGUCAUGGGCUGGCCGUUCGGUUAACCGAUGGUUGUCAAGUUGUGGUUAUAAGCUUUAGUAUGAGAUUCACAUAUUCUUCGGAGGACCUGACGAUAAUGAAGCGCUUGCUUACGGUAUGAGAAUAGCCGAACAUCCUGACAUUGUGCUAACUGUUGUUAAAUUUGUGUAUCCACCCGGAACAACAUUAUCAUUCGGCGCUAAGUUAGUCGGUGUUGCAUCGGUAGAAUAUAAUAUGUUAGGAAGAAAUUAAAUAGGUUAACAGUUGAUUGUAUAUUAUCAAAGAAUGUAAAUAGGUUAACUGGUGAUUGUAUGUUAUCAUUUCAUCAUUAAUUUUUUUACUG